UGAGUAGGCGGUUACAUAUGUCAGAUGUAAAAGGCACAGGCUUAACUUGUUUUAGCAUUUGAAACUGUGUGACUUGAGUGCAGGAGAGGUAAGUGGAAUUCCUAGUGUAGCGGUGAAAUGCGUAGAUAUUAGGAGGAACACCAGUGGCGAAGGCGACUUACUGGACUGUAACUGACGCUGAGUCACGAAAGCGUGGGUAGCAAACA
rnacentral:rRNA from 1 species